rnacentral:rRNA from 1 species
CCUACGGGAGGCAGCAGUGAGGAAUAUUGGUCAAUGGCCGUAAGGCUGAACCAGCCAAGUCGCGUGAGGGAAGAAGGAUCUAUGGUUUGUAAACUUCUUUUAUAGGGGAGUAAAGGUAUCCACGUGUGGAUGUUUGCAUGUACCAUAUGAAUAAGCAUCGGCUAACUCCGUGCCAGCAGCCCGGGUAAUACGGAGGAUGCGAGCGUUAUCCGGAUUUAGUGGGUGUAAAGGGUGCGUAGGUGGUAGUGCAAGUCAGCGGUGAAAGGUGGUGGCUCAACCAUAGGAUUGCUGUGGAAACUGGACGGCUUGAGUGUGUGUGAGGUAGGCGGAAUGCGUGGUGUAGCGGUGAAAUGCAUAGAUAUCAGGCAGAACUCCGAUUGCGAAGGCAGCUUACUGAGCUAUAACUGACGCUGAAGCACGAAAGCGUGGGGAGCAAACAGGAUUAGAUACCCUUGUAGUC